GAUGAACGCUGGCGGCGUGCCUAAUACAUGCAAGUCGAGCGAACAGACGAGGAGCUUGCUCCUUUGACGUUAGCGGCGGACGGGUGAGUAACACGUGGGUAACCUACCUAUAAGACUGGGAUAACUUCGGGAAACCGGAGCUAAUACCGGAUAAUAUUUCGAACCGCAUGGUUCGAUAGUGAAAGACGGCUUUGCUGUCACUUAUAGAUGGAUCUGCGCCGUAUUAGCUAGUUGGUAAGGUAACGGCUUACCAAGGCAACGAUACGUAGCCGACCUGAGAGGGUGAUCGGCCACACUGGAACUGAGACACGGUCCAGACUCCUACGGGAGGCAGCAGUAGGGAAUCUUCCGCAAUGGGCGAAAGCCUGACGGAGCAACGCCGCGUGAGUGAUGAAGGUCUUCGGAUCGUAAAACUCUGUUAUUAGGGAAGAACAAAUGUGUAAGUAACUAUGCACGUCUUGACGGUACCUAAUCAGAAAGCCACGGCUAACUACGUG
rnacentral:rRNA from 1 species